CUACGGGUUGCUGCAGUGGGGAAUAUUGCACAAUGGACGAAAGUCUGAUGCAGCAACGCCGCGUGGAGGAUGACACAUUUCGGUGCGUAAACUCCUUUUAUAGGUCAAGAUAAUGACGGUAGCCUAUGAAUAAGCGCCGGCUAACUCCGUGCCAGCAGCCGCGGUAAUACGGAGGGCGCAAGCGUUACUCGGAAUCACUGGGCGUAAAGAGCGUGUAGGCGGGUUAAUAAGUCAGAAGUGAAAUCCAAUGGCUCAACCAUUGAACUGCUUUUGAAACUGUUAACCUAGAGUAUGGGAGAGGUAGAUGGAAUUUCUGGUGUAGGGGUAAAAUCCGUAGAGAUCAGAAGGAAUACCGAUUGCGAAGGCGAUCUACUGGAACAUUACUGACGCUGAGACGCGAAAGCGUGGGGAGCAAACAGGAUUAGAUACCCGGGUAGUC
rnacentral:rRNA from 1 species